AGCAUUGGCAUGGGUGGAAGCCUGAUCAGCCUCCCGCGUGUAGGAUGACGGCCUUAUGGGUUGUAAACUACUUUUAUCUGGGGAUAAACCUACUUACGUGUAAGUAGCUGAAGGUACCAGAAGAAUAAGCACCGGCUAACUCCGUGCCAGCAGCCGCGGUAAUACGGAGGGUGCAAGCGUUAUCCGGAUUUAUUGGGUUUAAAGGGUCCGUAGGCGGACUGAUCAGUCAGUGGUGAAAUCCUAUCGCUUAACGAUAGAACUGCCAUUGAUACUGUUAGUCUUGAAUUAGUUUGAAGUGGCUGGAAUGUGUAGUGUAGCGGUGAAAUGCUUAGAUAUUACGCAGAACACCAAUUGCGAAGGCAGGUCACUAAGUCUAUAUUGACGCUGAUGGACGAAAGCGUGGGGAGCG
rnacentral:rRNA from 1 species